UACAAAAGUACUUAAGACUGUAGACCAUAGUGAAAAUGUAACCCACAUAAAGUGGGAAUAGCCUUUUGGGAAAUAGAGAUUGGGUAGGCGGGGUAGUCUGCCUGGCCAAUGGGAAGUUUGAUUCCCAUGAAUGUUUAGACCAAUCAGAGAGCGGAAUGCCACAGAGGCUCCACCUUCUUUCCCGUGUUGGCAGCAUUGAUUGUGAGCGGGAGAUCCGACCCUGAUCAGACAGCUGAGCCAGAAACCACUAAGAUCAGUUGGAACUGUUGCACUUUCUGGCAGUUGAUUGGCAGUUGUUUUCAGUUCAACUGAAGUGCCCUCCGUGUCUGGAAUGAGAGUCCCUGUCUAGUUGUUUUGAACGUGCCGCACUGAGAUCGGUGAGCAUAUUUUGUACCUUUCAUUUGGUUUUUGUUCUUUUAUCUUGUUGUCAAAUAAUGAUCUUUAUUUGACCUACUUAGUUAUUAAAACGUGAACCUUUGCUGAGUUUGUGUAAAAUGUAAUGUUUUAUUAUUGUUCUUGGAAAAGGAUUUUUCAAACAGUUAUGAAACAUAAUAAGCUAGAAUGGUUUAAUAAUAAUUCUAUGUUUCUGCU